GCCUGGCUGGCCCAGUCUGUAGAGCAUGCCACUCUUGAUCUUGGGGGUGUGAGUUCGAGUCUCACGCUGGGCA
rnacentral:tRNA from 1 species